UACAUGAAGCUGGAGUUGCUAGUAAUCGCGAAUCAGCAUGUCGCGGUGAAUACGUUCCCGGGCCUUGUACACACCGCCCGUCACACCAUGAGAGUUGGCAAUACCCAACGUACGUGAUCUAACCCGCAAGGGAGGAAGCGUCCUAAGGUAGGGUCAGCGAUUGGGGUGAAGUCGUAACAAGGUACC
rnacentral:rRNA from 1 species